rnacentral:lncRNA from 1 species
CCAGGUUUAAAUUAUGAGUAUAUUUAAAAUAACAGAUUACAAAUGAACAUUAUGGUUUUUUUCAAUGACUUCUGGUUUGGGGGGGGUCCCAGAUAAUUAGCAUGCACUACAGAAGAGUUUCUCUUUUCAUCUUUGAAUGUAGAGCAAGAGAUGGGUGUGAGGGGCAUGAGGUCACAAGUCCCAGCUAGGCUACAAGAGUUGUUGAUGUUGGUGGAUUGACCUCUCUUGACCUUGGUCCCCUCUGAGAAUGGGAAGAACAGCAUUCCCUUUAUCUGUCUCCUGCUUUGCCUGAAGCUUGAAAGAAAUAAUGUUAGAAGCUGCUAAGACAAAUACGAGAUCUUCUGAGCGUGCCAGCCCAUCCAUCUGCACCAGUAACUCUGUCUUCAUCCGCAGGCUUCCUUCAUGUUCUCCCCUACAGAGAGACAAGACGUGAUUCUCCUAAGUGUCAGAGCCUUCGCCCUCAUGACAAGAGCAGCAUUCACAGCAAUGUCCCUGUGACUGUAGAACAGUUUCUGUUCUGAUGGCCAAUGGAGCCGUUCAUACUAGAGUUAGAGAAAAUGAGCAAUUUGCUGUUAUUUUCACAUACAGUAUGAUAGAAAGCAAGUAAAUGAAUAUAAUGAUGGUAUUUGAAAGAAAACCAAAGGCAGGCAGUGAGCUGGAGAAAAUAACUAAAGGGUCCACAGUCCCACUGGUAGAUUAAAUGCAGCCCAACUGUGUCUACCUGCAGCAUUAUUUACCUCUUUAAAAAUGACAUAAUUGAGGAUAAUCCCUUUCACUUACAUAGCACACAGGAAAGUACUUUCACACCCUCAGCCUCCUGAGUAGCUGGGACCUCAGGCACAAGCCCCCUGCCUGGCUAGGUAUAUGUUUUUUUAGGAUCUAUGCCCCUUAAUACUCAACUACCUUUGCCUAAGAGAGAAGACCGUCUCUCUCUAUAUAUAUAUGUGUAUAUAUAUAUAUAUAUAAUUUAUUUAUUAUAUAUUAUAAGCAUAAUAUAUAAUUAGCAUUUGCCCAUAUAUUUGCUAUAUGUUUAAUUAUCAUUUGCCCAUAACUAUAAUUCCUUUAACAUAAUAUUAUCGAAGUCUUCAGAGCACCCAUCCCUAUUUCCUGACCCUUUGAAGACUCUUAAUUUUGGAGUCUUUGAUCCCAGACAGGGAAAUGGAAAUUCGGGGCAGAACCUGGAGCACACACAAGGAUAGCAGAUGAAGAGUCUUCACAUUAGCUCGAUGAAGGUUGUGGGAAACUGGGGACAGAGCUCGACAAAGCACACGUAACAACAAGUGCAUAGGGAGACCUGGUCUUUGUAGAGUGACUAUGAGGGUGGGCUGGUGCAUUCCCAUCUAGGUGCCUGUGCAGUUGCCUGCUUCUAUCAGGCCUGGUAUAGAAAGCAGAGUGCUCCAGCCUAGGGCUGACAAGCACCAGCUCCAGUUAAGCUGAGGAAAAUGUCCUGUUUCAAUCAAUUACAUGAAUCCCAUAUAUUACUUGGGUACAUCUUUAUGGUUGCUUUUCCCUGCUGGGAAAAUGGUUUCCAAUGAGUAAAAUUUCAUAAAUUAUAUUAUAGUUAUACUUCCAACAAGCUAAUUAAUUGUGUUUUAUUACUAUUACUUCUGCCUUGAUGAUAG